rnacentral:rRNA from 1 species
AUUGAACGCUGGCGGCAGGCCUAACACAUGCAAGUCGAACGAGUGGCGGACGUGUGAGUGAUGUCUGGGAAACUGCCUGAUGGAGGGGGAUAACUACUGGAAACGUUAGCUAAUACCGCAUACCAUCAGAUGUGCCCCUAUGGGAGUAGCUAGUAGGUGGGGUAACGGCUCACCAAGGCGACGAUCCCUAGCUGGUCUGAGAGGAUGACCAGCCACACUGGAACUGAGACACGGUCCAGACUCCUACGGGAGGCAGCAGUGGGGAAUAUUUCACAAUGGGCGCAAGCCUGAUGCAGCCAUGCCGCGUGUAUGAAGAAGGCCUUCGGGUUGUAAAGUAAUUUCAGCGGGGAGGCGUGACCCGCAGAAGAAGCACCGGCUAACUCCGUGCCAGCAGCCGCGGUAAUUC